rnacentral:hammerhead_ribozyme from 1 species
ACCCAGCUGAAAAGUCCCAAAUAGGACAAAACGAGCGUCCUGCAU